rnacentral:rRNA from 1 species
CAUGACGAACGCUGGCGGCGUGCUUAACACAUGCAAGUCGAACGGAAAGGCCCUGCUUUUGUGGGGUGCUCGAGUGGCGAACGGGUGAGUAACACGUGAGUAACCUGCCCUUGACUUUGGGAUAACUUCAGGAAACUGGGGCUAAUACCGGAUAGGAGCUCCUGCUGCAUGGUGGGGGUUGGAAAGUUUCGGCGGUUGGGGAUGGACUCGCGGCUUAUCAGCUUGUUGGUGGGGUAGUGGCUUACCAAGGCUUUGACGGGUAGCCGGCCUGAGAGGGUGACCGGCCACAUUGGGACUGAGAUACGGCCCAGACUCCUACGGGAGGCAGCAGUGGGGAAUAUUGCACAAUGGGCGGAAGCCUGAUGCAGCAACGCCGCGUGCGGGAUGACGGCCUUCGGGUUGUAAACCGCUUUCGCCUGUGACGAAGCGUGAGUGACGGUAAUGGGUAAAGAAGCACCGGCUAACUACGUGCCAGCAGCCGCGGUGAUACGUAGGGUGCGAGCGUUGUCCGGAUUUAUUGGGCGUAAAGGGCUCGUAGGUGGUUGAUCGCGUCGGAAGUGUAAUCUUGGGGCUUAACCCUGAGCGUGCUUUCGAUACGGGUUGACUUGAGGAAGGUAGGGGAGAAUGGAAUUCCUGGUGGAGCGGUGGAAUGCGCAGAUAUCAGGAGGAACACCAGUGGCGAAGGCGGUUCUCUGGGCCUUUCCUGACGCUGAGGAGCGAAAGCGUGGGGAGCGAACAGGCUUAGAUACCCUGGUAGUCCACGCUGUAAACGGUGGGUACUAGGUGUGGGGUCCAUUCCACGGGUUCCGUGCCGUAGCUAACGCUUUAAGUACCCCGCCUGGGGAGUACGGCCGCAAGGCUAAAACUCAAAGGAAUUGACGGGGCCCCGCACAAGCGGCGGAGCAUGCGGAUUAAUUCGAUGCAACGCGUAGAACCUUACCUGGGUUUGACAUGGAUCGGGAGUGCUCAGAGAUGGGUGUGCCUCUUUUGGGGUCGGUUCACAGGUGGUGCAUGGCUGUCGUCAGCUCGUGUCGUGAGAUGUUGGGUUAAGUCCCGCAACGAGCGCAACCCUUGUUCACUGUUGCCAGCACGUUAUGGUGGGGACUCAGUGGAGACCGCCGGGGUCAACUCGGAGGAAGGUGGGGAUGACGUCAAGUCAUCAUGCCCCUUAUGUCCAGGGCUUCACGCAUGCUACAAUGGCUGGUACAGAGAGUGGCGAGCCUGUGAGGGUGAGCGAAUCUCGGAAAGCCGGUCUCAGUUCGGAUUGGGGUCUGCAACUCGACCUCAUGAAGUCGGAGUCGCUAGUAAUCGCAGAUCAGCAACGCUGCGGUGAAUACGUUCCCGGGGCUUGUACACACCGCCCGUCAAGUCAUGAAAGUUGGUAACACCCGAAGCCGGUGGCCUAACCGUUGUGGGGGAGCCGUCGAAGGUG